CAGCAGAGUGGAAAGAGAAUGUGUGGAUCAGACAUACCUGGGUGGAAACUGACUUUACCAACGACUGGCUGGCUGCAAGACCUUGGCGAUUAUCCUUAACCUAGCCUCAGUCUCAACCUGUGACACGGCAAUGGCAGCUUAGAGAGGUUAAGCUACUUGAGUCACACCCGUGUCAGGUGGAGGAGCUGAACCUUGGAUGCAGGAGUAUCCGUUUCUACUGUCUCAACUCUUCCUAACUGCUUUGGAAUGACAGAAUGAGGAAAUGC
rnacentral:lncRNA from 10 species